rnacentral:tRNA from 1 species
GAGAUGGUAAUUUAAUUGGUAGAAUAGCAGUCUUCAAAAUUGUUUGUAAGGGUUCAAGUCCCUUCCGUCUCG